CUUAAAGAGACAGGGAUGCUUGGGUGUAAACCGGCUGAAACACCCAUGGACUCUAGUACUAAACUUCGAAGAAAUAAGGAAAGCAUUCCCGCGGACAAAGGACUUGUCAGAAAGUUGAUUUAUCUUUCACACACCAAACUAGAUAUAGGAUUCUCAGUCAGUGUAGUAAGCUAAUUCAUGAAUGAUCCAACCGAAGAACAUAUGAAAGCUUUCAACCGAAUAUUGAGGUACCUGAAAACAACACUAGGUAAAGGCUUAUACUUCAGGAAAACUACAAGGAAAGACAUUGAAGUGUUCAUUGAUGCUGUCCGGGACGAGUCUAUAACUGAUAGAAGGUCAACAUCUGGUUAUUGUACAUAUGCGAAGGAAAACCUGGUAGCAUGGCGAAAUAAAAAACAACUAGUAGUUUCUCAAAGCAGUGUAGGGGCGGCAUUUAGAGCUAUGGCACUUGGAAUUUGUAAGGGAAUAUGACUGAAAAGACAAAUAAAGGAACUAGGAACCAUCAC
rnacentral:lncRNA from 1 species